CCUUAUGGAUUCGCCAUGUCUGUCUGUCUGUCUGUCUGUCUGUCCGUCCGUAUGUCACAGCCACUUUUUUCCGAAACUAUAAGAACUAUACUGUUGAAACUUGGUAAGUAGAUGUAUUCUGUGAACCGCAUUAAGAUUUUCACACAAGAAUAGAAAAAAAAAACAAUAAAUUUUGGGGGUUCCCCAUACUUAGAACUGAAACUCAAAUUUUCUUUUUCAUCAAACCCGUGUGGAUAGAUCUUCAAAAAUGAUAUUGAGGUUUCUAAUAUAAUUGUUUUCUAAACUGAAUAGUUUGCGCGAGAGACACUUCCAAAGUG